AGAAUCAACGCUGGCGGCGUGCCUAACACAUGCAAGUCGAACGAGAAAGUGGAGCAAUCCAUGAGUAAAGUGGCGACCGGGUGAGUAACACGUGACUAACCUACCUUCGAGUGGGGGAUAACCUCGGGAAACCGAGGCUAAUACCGCAUAACAUCGCAAGAUCAAAGCAGCAAUGCGCUGGAAGAGGGGGUCGCGGCUGAUUAGCUAGUUGGCGGGGUAAUGGCCCACCAAGGCUUAGAUCGGUA
rnacentral:rRNA from 1 species